CUUCAAGCCAACUUAUUACGUAAGAUAGAAUUUGGGAGGAGUGCAUUACUCUAAAAUCUAAUUAAGAUGAAGUUUAUCUCUUCUGUUUUAUUCAUUGUGCUUAUUCUUUCCAUUGGGAUUGGAAAUGAAGGUCCAUUGAGAGUGACAGAGGCAAACAUUUGUGAUGUAAAAUUGUACUAUUAUUGUGAAGAAGAUUGUUUCACUGAUUGUCCCAAGAAGUAUGGAAAGAAAGCCCAAGGUAUAUGCAAUGAAGCAAGUGAGUGCAUAUGUCGUUGGCAAUGUUAAGUGUUUGACCUUUUUCUCCAAUGAUGCCUUUAAGAAUGCUAGUUUAGGUAACCACAAUGAUGGAUGAUUGGGUUCAAAGAAAUAAAAUUACUCUUUCAUAAUUAUA